GCCCCACCCACCUAGAGGAGCCUGUUCUAUAAUCGAUAACCCCCGCUUAACCUCACCACUUCUUGCCAAUACCGCCUAUAUACCACCGUCGCCAGCCCACCCCGUGAGGGACAUAGUAGGCACAAUGAUAAGUCACCAAAACGUCAGGUCAAGGUGUAGCGUAUGAAGUGGAAAGAAAUGGGCUACAUUCUCUAACCUAGAGCACACGAAAAAUCAUAUGAAAUUAGAUUAGAAGGAGGAUUUAGUAGUAAAAAGAAACAAUAGUGUUCUUUUUAAGUUGGCCCUGGGGCGCGCACACACCGCCCGUCACCCUCUUCAACUAAUAAAACACGAUUUAUAAAACACAAAACAAACACAAGAAGAGGUAAGUCGUAACAUGGUAAGUAUACCGGAAGGUGUGCUUGGAAUUAC
rnacentral:rRNA from 1 species